GCCCAGCCCUGCGCCUGCGCAUAACAGAACACUCGCUUUCUCUCGCCCUUCCUUAGGCACCGCCUACACGGGUGACGGGAUCGGAUCGUUUCUCGGGAUCAGCUCUUCGUAUUGACGCUGCCGUCGCGCUUACCUGUCCCUGCAGCGCCACCUCUGUGCCGUCAGGAAUACAGCCGAUUCUUGUAGCACCGCGGAAGAAGGCAUAGAAAAUGGACAAUUGACAAAUAUGGAGCUGAAACAUUUUCUUUCACUUUCACUUUCCAUCAUCUGGAAGGAGCAAGAAAGGGAACUAAAUUUUUGGAGUGGCUCUUCUAAGAACCAGGAAAAGCAGGAGAGUGGGAAGGAGAACAGGAAAGAAAGACAAGUAAGGAUGUGUUAUCAGGAAAAGUCCCACUGGGGAGCUUGGAUACCGUGAAGAUCACACCUCAGAGGGUCCUGAUGGGGGUUUGGAGGCUGAGAAAUCCCAGAUCAAGAUGCUGGCAGUGGCAGUGUUAGUACCUAGUGAAGAUCCACUUCCUGGUGUCACCUUUUCGCUGUGUCCUCACAUGGUGGGAGAGAAGCUAUUUUUGUGACCUAAAGAAAAAAUGGCUCACUGAAACAGAACUUUGCUGAUCUGGUUUCAAAGAAUUCUACGAGAUGAAACAUUCCAUGGAACUGAACAUAGAACGGGCAUAUCUGGAUGGGGGUGCAGGAGCAGAGGCCUACAGCUAAAAGUAGAUGCACUUUAUCAUUCUAGCUCAAGACUCCUCCUCAUUUUUUCCUUUGGUCUGAUAUUCUGAAUGAAUAUUUGGGUAAGUGACAGAUCCUCAUCACCAGUUGAGAGCCUAUGGAAAUAAUCCAGUGUUUUCCAGAGAACUUCUUAGCAAGAAUGGCUGCUGUGUCCUUCUCUGUCGGUGCCAUACCCCUGCUCCUGCUCCAUCACCAUCGUUCCUUUCUGGAAAAGUUUAGAAGCUCCUCCCCUCUUUUUAGGCCUGGAGUGAGGGGACGUUUGAAUUCCCUUCAGUCAGAAAGACCCACUACACUGGGAGAUCUCCCAAGAAGAUCCCCUUCGGGCUGAUAGACUGUCUUUUCACUGCAUCAAAUCUGGCCUUUUAGAGCUAAUCAGAAGGAGCUUCAGUCCUGGUAACGGUAGCAAAACAGUCAGCCAAAGGUCUAAAGAGAAAAACUAAUCAAGAGGAAAGAAGAAAAACCACGAGAAGUGAUACUGCGUUCACUUGGGGAUUAUUUGUGAUGAGAUUGAAUAUAAAUGUAAGAAUCCCGGAAAUGUCAAAAGAAGGCCUUGGAUAAAGCACUCAAAGCCCUGUUUAUCUGUGGGAAAAAGAUUUGUAUUUAGUAGUGGCCUAGUUUUUAAUUUUUCCUGCUCCUCAUAAGGUUUUUGUCCCCUGCACAUAAGGGUUUAAUGCAACUGGUUUUGAAAUAUUUCCCAUUUUGAAUUUGGAAGGCUUAUACUUCAGACCCGGGCUUUUCCUCUCUGUUCUUCCUUUCCAAGAGAUGUCAUUGUACUUCUGCCCAAACACUGCACUAUCCAGAAAAGAA